rnacentral:rRNA from 1 species
ACUUUCAACAACGGAUCUCUUGGCUUUCGCAUCGAUGAAGAACGCCGCGAAAGUGCGAAACGUAAUGUGAAUUGCAGAAUUCAGUGAAUCAUCGAAUCUUUGAACGCAUCUUGCGCUCCUUGGUAUKCSGRGGAGGCMWGCCUGU